AUUGAACGCUGGCGGCAGGCCUAACACAUGCAAGUCGAGCGGAUGAAGGGAGCUUGCUCCUGGAUUCAGCGGCGGACGGGUGAGUAAUGCCUAGGAAUCUGCCUGGUAGUGGGGGAUAACGUCCGGAAACGGGCGCUAAUACCGCAUACGUCCUGAGGGAGAAAGUGGGGGAUCUUCGGACCUCACGCUAUCAGAUGAGCCUAGGUCGGAUUAGCUAGUUGGUGGGGUAAAGGCCUACCAAGGCGACGAUCCGUAACUGGUCUGAGAGGAUGAUCAGUCAGACGGGAACUGAGACACGGUCCAGACUCCUACGGGAGGCAGCAGUGGGGAAUAUUGGACAAUGGGCGCAAGCCUGAUACAGCCAUGCCGCGUGUGAGAAGAAGGCCUUCGGAUUGUAAAGCACUUUUGUCCGGAAAGAAAGACCUGGAGCUAAUACCUUCGGGGGAUGACGGUACCGAAAGAAUAAGGACCGGCUAACUUCGUG
rnacentral:rRNA from 1 species